CAGGCUAACCUACGCCCAGCAGUGGUAAAGAUGUUUAGGCCCACAGUGCCUGUGUUUGAAAUGUAGGCUAAGCAACAUCAUCCUUCAAGAGAUCUUGGCUACAACUCUGCUAAAAAUAUGCAACACCUUAAGUCUAUAGUGUAUAUACCAUCCAGAAAGCUGGUUCAGCUCUUGAAGAUUGGUUAAUAGUUAGAUAACCAUUGGAAGGUGGGUGAAUGUGAAGGUACUGCCUCAUUACCUGCCUUGUCAAACCAAGAGCAAAUGAGAAUACAUGCAGGAAUAGUUAGAGGGAUAUCGACAAGUUGGAGGGUUCUUAUCAUUUCUCAUACAGACAAGACAGAGGGUAGAGGUAACACAACAUCCACAACAAGAAUUGAAAUCCUGACAUAUAAACAUUAAUAAUGUGAACUUGGUGUCUGGUAAUCCUAAAAACUGAAUAUAAACACUUACCAUCUGUAAAAAAAAUUCUGAAAAAUUCUACUUUAAUAUCAUAACAUGAUCUAAUAACAGAACAAAAACACCAAUAGUAUAGAAAUAAAAAAAAUGGGCACAGAGAAAUGGUUCAAGUUUAACAAAGAACUAAAGAAAGGCCCCUACCUUUGUAAAACAAAAAAUUAUUCGCCAAAACUAAGCUGAACUCACCAUAUAAUUUGUAGCACGCUUUCUGAUAACUUUCUUGUACACUUCAGUACAUCCCUCAGG